GACGAACGCUGGCGGCGUGCCUAACACAUGCAAGUCGAGCGAAUGAAGUUCCUUCGGGAACGGAUUUAGCGGCGGACGGGUGAGUAACACGUGGGCAACCUGCCUCAUAGAGGGGAAUAGCCUUCCGAAAGGGAGAUUAAUACCGCAUAAGAUUGUAGUACCGCAUGGUACAGCAAUUAAAGGAGCACAUCCGCUAUGAGAUGGGCCCGCGGCGCAUUAGCGAGUUGGUGAGGUAACGGCUCACCAAGGCGACGAUGCGUAGCCGACCUGAGAGGGUGAUCGGCCACAUUGGGACUGCGACACGGCCCAGACUCCUACGGGAGGCAGCAGUGGGGAAUAUUGCACAAUGGGGGAAACCCUGAUGCAGCAACGCCGCGUGAGUGAUGACGGCCUUCGGGUUGUAAAGCUCUGUCUUCAGGGACGAUAAUGACGGUACCUGAGGAGGAAGCCACGGCUAACUACGUGCCAGCCGCCGCGGUAA
rnacentral:rRNA from 1 species